AACGAACGCUGGCGGCAGGCUUAACACAUGCAAGUCGAACGGGCCCUUCGGGGUCAGUGGCAGACGGGUGAGUAACGCGUGGGAACGUGCCCUUCAGUUUGGGAUAACCCAGGGAAACUUGGGCUAAUACCGGAUACGUGCGAGAGCAGAAAGAUUUAUCGCUGAAGGAUCGGCCCGCGUCCGAUUAGCUGGUUGGUAGGGUAAUGGCCUACCAAGGCGACGAUAAGAAGCUGGUCUGAGAGGAUGAUCAGCCACAUUGUGACUGAGACACGGGGCAACGUCCUACAGGAGGCAGCAGGGGGUAAUAUUGGACUAUGGGCCGAAGCCGGAUCCAGCCAUGCCGCGUGAGUGAUGAAGGCCUUAGGGUUGCAGAGCUCUUUCAGUGGGGACGAUAAUGACGGUACCCGCAGAAGAAGCCCCGGCUAACUUCGUGCCAGCAGCCGCAGUAA
rnacentral:rRNA from 1 species